rnacentral:rRNA from 1 species
UACGUAGGGUGCAAGUGUUGUCCGGAAUUAUUGGGCGUAAAGAGCGUGUAGGCGGCCAUACAGGUCAGCUGUGAAAACUCGAGGCUCAACCUCGAGACGUCGGUUGAAACCAUCUGGCUAGAGUCCGGAAGAGGAGUGUGGAAUUCCCGGUGUAGCGGUGAAAUGCGCAGAUAUCGGGAAGAACACCCGUGGCGAAGGCGGCACUCUGGGACGGUACUGACGCUGAGACGCGAAAGCGUGGGGAGCGAACAGG